rfam:Ixodes scapularis strain Wikel colony gcontig_1108378474240, whole genome shotgun sequence.
CCCUGGUUAGCUCAGUUGGUAGAGCGCUCCACUUGUAAUAAAGAGGUCCCGGGUUCGAUACCCGGACCAGGCG